AUUGAACGCUGGCGGCAGGCCUAACACAUGCAAGUCGAGCGAGCGGCGGACGGGUGAGUAAUGUCUGGGAAACUGCCUGAUGGAGGGGGAUAACUACUGGAAACGGUAGCUAAUACCGCAUACCAUCAGAUGUGCCCAGAUGGGAGUAGCUAGUGGGGGGGGUAAAGGCUCACCUAGGCGACGAUCCCUAGAUGGUCUGAGAGGAUGACCAGCCACACUGGAACUGAGACACGGUCCAGACUCAUACGGGAGGCAGCAGUGGGGAAUAUUGGACAAUGGGCGCAAGCCUGAUGCAGCCAUGCCGCGUGUGUGAAGAAGGCCUUCGGGUGGUAAAGCACGUUCAGCGGGGAGGCGUUACCCGCAGAAGAAGCACCGGCUAACUCCGUGCCAGCAGCCGCGGUAAUAC
rnacentral:rRNA from 1 species